rnacentral:rRNA from 1 species
GACGAACGCUGGCGGCGUGCUUAACACAUGCAAGUCGAACGGAAAGGCCCUGCUUUUGUGGGGUGCUCGAGUGGCGAACGGGUGAGUAACACGUGAGUAACCUGCCCUUGACUUUGGGAUAACUUCAGGAAACUGGGGCUAAUACCGGAUAGGAGCUCCUGCUGCAUGGUGGGGGUUGGAAAGUUUCGGCGGUUGGGGAUGGACUCGCGGCUUAUCAGCUUGUUGGUGGGGUAGUGGCUUACCAAGGCUUUGACGGGUAGCCGGCCUGAGAGGGUGACCGGGCACAUUGGGACUGAGAUACGGCCCAGAAUCCUACGGGAGGCAGCAGUGGGGAAUAUUGCACAAUGGGCGGAAGCCUGAUGCAGCAACGCCGCGUGCGGGAUGACGGCCUUCGGGUUGUAAACCGCUUUCGCCUGUGACGAAGCGUGAGUGACGGUAAUGGGUAAAGAAGCACCGGCUAACUACGUG